rnacentral:rRNA from 1 species
AGAGUUUGAUCAUGGCUCAGGACGAACGCUGGCGGCGUGCUUAACACAUGCAAGUCGAACGGUGAACCUGCUUCGGUGGGGGAUCAGUGGCGAACGGGUGAGUAACACGUGGGCAACCUGCCCCUGGCUCUGGGAUAACUCCAAGAAAUUGGGGCUAAUACCGGAUAUGACUGCUGACCGCAUGGUCUGGUGGUGGAAAGAUUUAUCGGCUGGGGAUGGGCCCGCGGCCUAUCAGCUUGUUGGUGGGGUAGUGGCCUACCAAGGCGACGACGGGUAGCCGGCCUGAGAGGGUGACCGGCCACACUGGGACUGAGACACGGCCCAGACUCCUACGGGAGGCAGCAGUGGGGAAUAUUGCGCAAUGGGCGGAAGCCUGACGCAGCGACGCCGCGUGGGGGAUGACGGCCUUCGGGUUGUAAACCUCUUUCAGCAGGGACGAAGCGGAAGUGACGGUACCUGCAGAAGAAGCACCGGCCAACUACGUGCCAGCAGCCGCGGUAAUACGUAGGGUGCAAGCGUUGUCCGGAAUUAUUGGGCGUAAAGAGCUCGUAGGCGGUUUGUUGCGUCGGCUGUGAAAUCCCGAGGCUCAACCUCGGGUCUGCAGUCGAUACGAGCAAACUAGAGUGUUGCAGGGGAGACUGGAAUUCCUGGUGUAGCGGUGAAAUGCGCAGAUAUCAGGAGGAACACCGGUGGCGAAGGCGGGUCUCUGGGCAACAACUGACGCUGAGGAGCGAAAGCGUGGGGAGCGAACAGGAUUAGAUACCCUAGUAGUCC